AUGGAGAUGCAAAGGGUGGCCAUCGUCGGCGCCGGCAUGAGCGGCCUCACGGCGUGCAAGCACGUGCUUGAGCGCGGCUUCCGGCCCGUCGUGUUCGAGGCCGAGGCGGACGCCAUCGGCGGCGUGUGGGCGCACACGCUCGCCUCGACGCGCCUGCAGACCCCACGGCCGCAGUACGAGUUCACGGACUUCCCGUGGCCGCCGGAGGUGCCGGAAUUGUACCCGAGCCACGACCAGGUCAUGGAGUACCUGCGCUCCUACGCGCGCCACUUCGGCGUGCUAGAGUGCGUCAGGUACGGCAGCCGGGUCACCGCUCUGGAGUACUCCGGCGCCGUCAACGAGGAGGAGAUGAUGGCGUGGGAGCAGUGGGCCGGCAACGGCGAGGCGUUCGGCAGCGGUCGAGGCGAGUGGCGCAUCACCGUGCAGCACGGGGACGACGUCGAGAUACCCGUGGCCGACUUUGUAGUGCUAUGCGUUGGACGGUACAGCGGCAUCCCAAACAUUCCAACUUUCCCACCGGCGAAAGGGCCAGAGGCCUUUAAUGGCACGGUGAUCCACUCCAUGGAUUACUCCAACAUGAACGAUGCAAAAGCCACUGAGCUCAUCAAAGGCAAGCUCGUCACCGUCGUCGGCUACCAAAAGUCUGCUCUCGACAUCGCCACAGAGUGCGCAAAUGUGAAUGGUUCGACACAUCCUUGUACAAUGAUUGUUCGGACAAAGAGAUGGAUCAUCCCUGACUUCUAUGCUUGGGGUGUCCCCGUUCCUUUCUUGUGCUUCAAUCGCUUGUCCGAACUACUAGUUCACAAGCCAGGAGAGGGGCUGCUCCUUAGCCUUUGGCUACCUUCUUGUCACCCUUGA
rnacentral:rRNA from 1 species